rnacentral:rRNA from 1 species
GAUGAACGCUGGCGGUGUGCCUAAUACAUGCAAGUCGUACGCAUUCUCGUUUCUGAUUGACGGUGCUUGCACCUAAUUGACGAGACAUUGGAAUGAGUGGCGGACGGGUGAGUAACACGUGGGUAACCUGCCCAGAAGUGGGGGAUAACAUUUGGGAACAGAUGCUAAUACCGCAUAAAAGUCAAAACCACAUGGUUUUGAUUUAAAAGAUGGCCUUUGUGCUAUCACUUCUGGAUGGACCCGCGGCGUAUUAGCUAGUUGGUAAGGUAACGGGUUACCAAGGCAAUGAUACGUAGCCGAACUGAGAGGUUGAUCGGCCACAAUGGGACUGAGACACGGCCCAUACUCCUACGGGAGGCAGCAGUAGGGAAUCUUCCACAAUGGGCGCAAGCCUGAUGGAGCAACACCGCGUGAGUGAAGAAGGGUUUCGGCUCGUAAAACUCUGUUGUUAAAGAAGAACGUAUCUAAGAGUAACUGCUUAGGUAGUGACGGUAUUUAACCAGAAAGCCACGGCUAACUACGUGCCAGCCGCCGCAGUAA